UCGAGAGAGCAAAGAUUUAUCAGUUUGGGAGCGGCCUAUCUCCUAUCAGCUUGUUGGUGAGGUAAUGGCUCACCAAGGCGACGACGGGUAGCGGGACUGAGAGGUUGGCCCGCCACAUCGGGACUGAGACACUGCCCGGACCUCCACGGAGGGCUGCAGUAACGAAUAUUGGGCAAUGGGCGAAAGCCUGACCCAGCAAUGCCGCGUGCAGGAUGAAGCCCCUCGGGGUGUAAACUGCUGUCAGGGGUAAGAAAGCCUUCGGGUUGAUCAGCCCCAGAGGAAGUCACGGCUAACUUCGUGCCAGCAGCCGCGGUAAUACGAAGGUGGCGAGCGUUGUUCGGAAUCACUGGGCUUAAAGCGCGCGUAGGCGGAAAAGUAAGUGUCUUGUGAAAUCCCCCGGCUCAACCGGGGAAUUGCUGGGCAAACUGCUUUUCUUGAGGCAGGUAGGGGUGCAUGGAACUCUUGGUGGAGCGGUGGAAUGCGUAGAUAUCAAGAGGAACGCCAGAGGUGAAGACGGUGCACUGGGCCUGUCCUGACGCUGAGGUGCGAAAGCGUGGGGAGCGAACGGGAUUAGAUACCCCGGUAGUCCACGCCGUAAACGAUGCCUACUAGGUUGUGGGAGUUCUGACGCUUUCACGGCCGAAGCAAAAGUGUUUAGUAGGCCGCCUGGGGAGUACGGUCGCAAGGCUAAAACUCAAAGGAAUUGACGGGGGCUCACACAAGCGGUGGAGCAUGUGGAUUAAUUCGAAGCAACGCGCAGAACCUUACCUGGGUUUGACAUGUAUGGAUGCCUGCUGCGAAAACAGUUAGGCUGCCUUCGGGUGAAACUUACACAGGUGCUGCAUGGCUGUCGUCAGCUCGUGUCGUGAGUAUGUCAGGGUUAAGUCC
rnacentral:rRNA from 1 species